rnacentral:rRNA from 1 species
UACAGAGGUCUCAAGCGUUGUUCGGAUUCCUUGGGCGUAAAGGGUGCGUAGGCGGCGCGUUAAGUCGGGUGUGAAAUCUCGGAGCUUAACUCCGAAACUGCAUUCGAUACUGCCGUGCUUGAGGACUGGAGAGGAGACUGGAAUUUACGGUGUAGCGGUGAAAUGCGUAGAUAUCGAGAGGAACACCUGCGGCGAAGGCGGGUUGCUGGGCUGACACUGACGCUGAUGCGCGAAGGCCAGGGGAGCAAACGGG